GUAGGUGGCAAGCGUUGUCCGGAAUUAUUGGGCGUAAAGCGCGCGCAGGCGGUUUUUUAAGUCUGAUGUGAAAGCCCACGGGCUCAACCGUGGAGGGUCAUUGGAAACUGGAGAACUUGAGUACAGAAGAGGAAAGCGGAAUUCCACGUGUAGCGGUGAAAUGCGUAGAGAUGUGGAGGAACACCAGUGGCGAAGGCGGCUUUCUGGUCUGUAACUGACGCUGAGGCGCGAAAGCGUGGGGAGCAAACAGGAUUAGAUACCCUGGUAGUCCACGCCGUAAACGAUGAGUGCUAAGUGUUAGGGGGGUUUCCGCCCCUUAGUGCUGCAGCUAACGCAUUAAGCACUCCGCCUGGGGAGUACGGCCGCAAAGGCUG
rnacentral:rRNA from 1 species